UACAGAGGGGGCAAGCGUUAUUCGGAAUUACUGGGCGUAAAGGGCGCGUAGGCGGCCUCGCAAGUCCCGUGUGAAAUCCCUCGGCUCAACUGAGGAAUGGCACGGGAAACUGCGGGGCUUGAGUUCGGGAGAGGGAAGCGGAAUUCCAGGUGUAGCGGUGAAAUGCGUAGAUAUCAGGAGGAACACCGGUGGUGUAGACGGCUCUCUGGACAGUAACUGACGCUGAGACACGAAAGCGUGGGUAGCAAACAGG
rnacentral:rRNA from 1 species